rnacentral:rRNA from 1 species
UACGUAGGGGGCAAGUGUUGUCCGGAUUUAUUGGACGUAAAGAGCGUGUAGGCGGCCAUACAGGUCCGUUGUGAAAACUCGAGGCUCAACCUCGAGACGUCGAUGGAAACCGUAUGGCUAGAGUCCGGAAGAGGAGAGUGGAAUUCCUGGUGUAGCGGUGAAAUGCGCAGAUAUCUGGAGGAACACCAAUUGCGAAGGCAGCUCGCUGGGACGUUACUGACGCUGAGACGCGAAAGCGUGGGGAGCAAACAGG